rnacentral:tRNA from 1 species
GACUCACUAGCUCAGUAGGUAGAGCACAUGACUUUUAAUCAUGGUGUCCGGAGUUCGAUCCUCCGGUGAGUCA